UGUGAAAACUGAAGCCCAUUCUUUAUGGAUUAAUUACAGCAGAGCAGUUGCCAAGUGAUCUUCUCCACAGCACCCACGAACUUUGGCCUUACACUGAAGAGGACUCGUCAAAUGCCUUGGGAGAUACAACACAGAAUUGGAAGAGAAGCAUGGAUCUACACGAAGGGCAGUCCGCUGCAUUCUUGGUGUGUGGAGGAACGGGUCCUGUGCUCACUGUUGUUACUCCCACAUAGGCGGACUCUGUAACUGAUUAUAUGUGGGUAGGGCCCUAUUGAAAUUAAGGAGAUUCUGCAGUAGUGCGGGGUUCUGUUUGUGUGACCCUACUGUGCCUUCUUACUGUGAAUUCUGUCAGUGUAUCAUGGGUUGUGCUGGAACCUGCCUUUUGGGAUAAUUACCAAAUAAUAUAUUCCUCAAAACUUCUUAAUGGCACUGAGGCUUUGUGGAUAGUUGGUCACAUGAUGAGAAAAUUCAGCUGUAAGUACACUGAAAUGAUUGAAUUUUUCAAUAGUUAGUCUUUGCUGAUGUUGACAAACUAAUAAUGAUAAAAGGGUUAAUCAAGAGGUGUGAUUUAUGUGCGACUCUGGUUCUUUUUAGAGCAUACAGACAAUAUAUAUCCAUUAGGGAUAUCAUUAUUCUUGGGUAAUUCACCACGUGAACCUGGAGUCCUUCAGCACUGCUGUUAGGUAGGGAGUUUUAAUUUCUUUAUUUCCUUUGCUUUCAGAAGAAUGUGUUUCUGACCUGCUCUCUAUCUUCACCCAUAAAAUUUUCCAAAUUUAUAGAUCUAUAAAAACUGUUUAUACCACCAGUAUUUGUGUAGCUACUGCAAGCAGAUUUACUAACAUAAUUGUCUUGCUGAGUUGAACGUUGAAAUGUUAAUAAAUACAUACUUAUGCUCAUGUCAAAGUAACUUGCUUAAAUUAAACUAAACUGAUCUGACGU